rnacentral:rRNA from 1 species
GACGAACGCUGGCGGCGUGCUUAACACAUGCAAGUCGAACGGUAAGGCCCUUCGGGGUACACGAGUGGCGAACGGGUGAGUAACACGUGGGUGAUCUGCCCUGCACUUCGGGAUAAGCCUGGGAAACUGGGUCUAAUACCGGAUAGGACCACUGCCUGCAUGGGUGGUGGUGGAAAGCUUUUGCGGUGUGGGAUGGGCCCGCGGGCUAUCAGCUUGUUGGUGGGGUGAUGGCCUGCCAAGGCGACGACGGGUAGCCGGCCUGAGAGGGUGACCGGCCGCACUGGGACUGAGAUACGGCCCAGACUCCUCCGGGGGGCAGCAGUGGGGAAUAUUGCACAAUGGGCGCAAGCCUGAUGCAGCGACGCCGCGUGAGGGAUGACGGCCUUCGGGUUGUAAACCUCUUUCAGCACCGACGAAGCGCAAGUGACGGUAGGUGCAGAAGAAGGACCGGCCAACUACGUGCCAGCCGCCGCGGUAA